UACGGAGGGGGCAAGCGUUGUUCGGAAUUACUGGGCGUAAAGCGUGCGCAGGCGGUUUUGUAAGCCAGAUGUGAAAGCCCCGGGCUUAACCUGGGAAUGGCAUUUGGGACUGCAAGGCUUGAGUGCGGCAGAGGAGACUGGAAUUCCUGGUGUAGCAGUGAAAUGCGUAGAUAUCAGGAGGAAUACCGAUGGCGAAGGCAGGUCUCUGGGCUGACACUGACGCUCAUGCACGAAAGCGUGGGGAGCAAACAGG
rnacentral:rRNA from 1 species